rnacentral:rRNA from 1 species
GUAGGUGGCAAGCGUUGUCCGGAAUUAUUGGGCGUAAAGCGCGCGCAGGCGGUCCUUUAAGUCUGAUGUGAAAGCCCACGGCUCAACCGUGGAGGGUCAUUGGAAACUGGGGGACUUGAGUACAGAAGAGGAAAGCGGAAUUCCAAGUGUAGCGGUGAAAUGCGUAGAGAUUUGGAGGAACACCAGUGGCGAAGGCGGCUUUCUGGUCUGUAACUGACGCUGAGGCGCGAAAGCGUGGGGAGCAAACAGGGAUUAGAUACCCUGGUAGUCCACGCCGUAAACGAUGAGUGCUAAGUGUUAGGGGGUUUCCGCCCCCUUAGUGCUGCAGCUAACGCAUUAAGCACUCCGCCCUGGGGAGUACGGCCGCAAGGCUG